rnacentral:rRNA from 1 species
GUUGAACGCUAGCGGGAUGCCUUACACAUGCAAGUCGAACGGAGUGGCGAACGGGUGAGUAAUGUAUCGGAACGUGCCCAGUAGCGGGGGAUAACUACGCGAAAGCGUAGCUAAUCCCGCAUACUAUUGGAGCGGCCGAUAUCGGCUGAGCUAGUUGGUGGGGUAACGGGUCACCAAGGCGACGAUCCGUAGCUGGUUUGAGAGGACGACCAGCCACACUGGGACUGAGACACGGCCCAGACUCCUACGGGAGGCGCCAGUGGGGAAUUUUGGAGAUUGGGGGAAACCCUGAUCCAGCCAUCCCGGGUGUGCGAUGAAGGCCUUCGGGUUGUAAAGCACGUUGUGCAGGAAAGCGGUACCUGCAGAAUAAGCACCGGCUAACUACGUGCCAGCCGCCGCGGUAAUUC